UGGCUGGGAAGUUUCCAGGAAGUUCUCUCCUAUUGCCCACCGGUUCAUCUGGUGUAUAAAGUCUUUACUGAAUGUUCUAACAGCAAAGUACCUUAUGAUGAUGAUUGGUACCAAGUUACCAUAGUUCCUCUUGCUUUCAUUCAGUUAGUACCUUGGUUUGGUACAGGGUUGGUUUUGACAGGUAUAAUAUCGGUUUGGACAGGUACAGUAUAGGUUUGGACUGGUACACUGUUGAUUUGGAUGGGUAUAUGUCAGUUUGGACAGCUACAGUACUGGUUAGGACAUGUACAGUGCCGGUUUGGACAGGUACGGGAUCAGUUUGGACAGGUACAGUGCCGGUUUGAGCAUGUACAAGUAGGUUUGAUUGGGUAUAUGUUUGGGUUGGACAGGUCCAGGGUUGAUUUGGACAGAUACGGGAUCAGUUUUGACGAGUAUAGAGUUGGUUUGGACAGGUAUAGAGUUGGUUUGGACAUGUAUAGAGUUGGUUUGGACAUGUAUAGAGUUGGUUUGGAGAGGUAUAGAGUUGGUUUGGAGAGGUAUAGGGUUGGUUUGGACAUGUAAAAAGAUGGGGUUUUAGAGGGAUGGUUUGGACGGGUACUGGGUUUGGACAUGAUCACUGAUGAGAGGACUUCCAUCUGUUGAAACCUGAGCAUGUGGAAACUGUGUACAGCCACCCAGGUAACGGCAGUAACAUGAUCCAGGUGAGCUCUCGCUGGCAUCUGCUCCCUGAUCACACCAAAACACUCGCACGGCCACGCAGGACCAGCUUGACAUGCAGGACAACACACACACACACACACACACACACACACACACACACACACACACACACACACACACACACAGCUACAGGUCAAACGUUUAAACAGUAUGAUGUCAGGUUUUGAUGGGGGUGAUGAUCUGUGUAUGAUCUGUGGAUGCCACAUGUAGUAGGGUUUUGCAAAAAUUCACCAAAAAGUCAACAGAAAUGAAAACAAAAAAAUUGAAACGAAAAUAUCUCCAAAAUUUGUUUCAAGAUAUACUAUUGUACUGGUGUCCAGAACACUAACAGACAGAGUCUGAGUCUGCGACACCAAUUUUG
ensembl:lncRNA